rnacentral:lncRNA from 1 species
UUUCAAGUUGGCAAGAAACUACUGGCGAUUUCCCAGAAGCAAGCGGCAACUCCAGAUUUUACAGGACACCAGAUGGCAGACUUGCUCUUUCAUGCUCAGUGAGUUUGAGGCCUCAUUUGUCUACCUUCUCACAUGGCCAGGAGACUACUUGUGUCAAUCCCUCUGCUUCCCACCAUACUUCAUGCUACUCUACUCUCAUCCCAAAGAAAAGAGAUGAGAGGGGAUCAGGACUAAGACAAAGGACACAGCCUCCCAGUGCCACACUGCACAAGUGAGUUUCAGGUGCUUUUGGGGGCCACAUUGGCCCAGUGGAAAGGAAGUCUUUCUAUUUGACACUAGUGUUUGUUCACAAGUACCCACUCCCAUGCCCCAGCC